rnacentral:rRNA from 1 species
AGGGCACCACCAGGAGUGGAGCCUGCGGCUUAAUUUGACUCAACACGGGAAAACUCACCCGGCCCGGACACUGGAAGGAUUGACAGACUGAGAGCUCUUUCUUGAUUCAGUGGGUGGUGGUGCAUGGCCGUUCUUAGUUGGUGGAGUGAUUUGUCUGGUUAAUUCCGAUAACGAACGAGACUCUAGCCUACUAAAUAGAUCGUUGGCUUACAAACGCCGAACGAGACUUCUUAGAGGGACAGGCGGUGAUUCAACCGCACGAAACAGAGCAAUAACGGGUCUGUGAUGCCCUUAGAUGUCCGGGGCCGCACGCGCGCUACACUGAAGUGAUCAGCGUGCAUUCUAUGCCUACUCUGUCAAGAGUGGGAAACCCAAUGAACCUUCUUCGUGAUUGGGAUAGGAGAUUGUAAUUAUUCUCCUUGAACGAGGAAUUCCCAGUAAGCGCGAGUCAUAAGCUCGCGUUGAUUACGUCCCUGCCCUUUGUACACACCGCCCGUCGCUACUACCGAUUGAAUGUUU